GGUGGGGAGUUUUAAAGACGCAUUUAGGCUACCUUUCAUCAGGGAUGGGUUGGGACAGCAUAUGAUAAGAAAAGAUAAGAUGAUACAUAGUUGUGUUGUCUUGUGUUUGGUGUAUGGAAGAAAAGGUCAAAUUAAUUAUACAAAAUAAAUUAUUGAUAUACUAAAUAAGUAAUAAAAAUGACAAGACAAGGAGAAUUGCUUUGUCUAUUGAACCAAACACUACUCAUAUGGAGUUUGUCAUUCUAUCAUUAUAAACAAGUGGGCCUUAUACAUUGACAAGUAGUUUGGCAUAUUGGAAAAACUUGGGGGACUUCCAUUAGUUGUCGGUCAUAGUUUUGCACCCUCUUGAUGCUUUCUUGAGUUUGGGGAUAAGGAAGUUGUUGAAAUAGUAACUUUUAUUGUUUGCAACAAGGUUUUCAUUGGCUACUCUUCUUAUACUUAUUAUUUGUUUUCUUAUUUCUGAUUUUAACGUGUAGCCUGGCCUCAACUAAACUUGUGGUUGUGGAAAAUUCAAGCCAACUUGGAGUUCUUCAACUUGGAGUUCUUUGAACCCCCUAAAACUAGGGCUAAUGAUAUGAACAAUUUUGAAUAUUGCACCCUUUCUCAAUUUUAUCUUAUGCUUUUAAUGUUAUAUAUUCGAUUCAAAGGUUACUGAUACUGAUUUAGUUUUAGUUAUAUCCAAUGGGUCCAGGGCGUGUGUCCAUGCUAGCUUGUUGCAUAGAUGGGAGGUAAACAUGGACAUAAGUAGAUUCCUUUUGAACCCCAUGAGAAACCAGACAGCAACAUUUUCCGUUUCUUUUGAAGUCGUUUAAAAUGCCUUUUGAGAUCUAUAUUGUGCCAAAAGCUACUAUUGGAUGAUAUUAGGCAUUUAGGCUUCAUAAAGGGCCCAUACCUGCUUUGACUAUUUUUGUCCAAUUCAGAAGUUACCUCAGCAUGGGCAAACAUCACAGACUCAUUGGACAUAAUUAAAAUAGAAUUAAUAAUUAAUGAAAAAGUUAAAAACAUAAGAUACAAUUGAAAAAGCAUGCAAUCUCGGAUUUUUCAAAACAUUAGGCCUUAAAUUAAAGUUGUGUUUAUGUUGCUAGUUGGAUAGUAUGUACUUCUGCAUCUACAAUCACAUUUACUUUUCCAAAUGUCCAUUACCAAGUUGUGGUCUCCAAAAGGAGGAUCUACGAAAGUACCAUUAUAAAUUUGCAGUACGUGCAAGUUAUGUACCUGGUUUAGUUGUUAAUAUAGCAUACAAUAGAUGAAUUCAGCCUCAAAUUCAUUGCUGGGUUUAAAUCUUAGAUGGCAUUUUUUGUAAGAUUCUUUCCAAACUGGAAUAAAUGGUUGUUGCAUGUUUAUCUGCACCUAAAGUCAUAAGGUCUAGACAUGGACAUCUGGUUAAUAUGGUAUGCACAUUGAUUAUAUGUGGAUCUUUAACCGUAGUAACUACUACCUUCUGCACAAGUCAUGUUUGUGUUUUGGUUUGUUCUCCACAUUAUAGUGAUUUAAUUAUUUCAGAGUUGGAUCCUAAUUCCGGUUCCACCUUUUAUUCUUGUAGGUUAAACGCAAGUAUAGAAUUGCACCUACUUCAACUUUUUUUGACAGGAGAAGGAAUUCUUCUAUGUUAUUCAUGGAGGGAAGACAAAGGAUAUCUCCAAGAGUUGAGAGGGAUGAUUUCAAUAUGCCCACAAAGUCUCAAAUUGAUUUGGAGCUGGCCAAGAUGAGAACCAUGACA
rnacentral:misc_RNA from 1 species